AGCAGCCGCGGUAAUUCCAGCUCCAAUAGCGUAUAUUAAAGUUGUUGCAGUUAAAAAGCUCGUAGUUGAAUUUCGGGAUCAAUAUUUCGGUCAUGCCGUUGGUAUGCACUGUUAUCAUUGAUUUCUCACCUUCUAAAGAACCGUAAUGCCAUUAAUUUGGUGUUACGGGGAAUUAGGACUGUUACCUUGAAAAAAUUAGAGUGUUUAAAGCAGGCUCACGCUUGAAUACAUUAGCAUGGAAUAAUGAAAUAGGACAUCCGAUUCUAUUUUGUUGGUUUCUAGGAUCGAUGUAAUGAUUAAUAGGGAUAGUUGGGGGCAUUAGUAUUCAAUUGUCAGAGGUGAAAUUCUUGGAUUUAUUGAAGACUAACUACUGCGAAAGCAUUUGCCAAGGAUGUUUUCAUUAAUCAAGAACGAAAGUUAGGGGAUCGAAGACGAUCAGAUACCGUCGUAGUCUUAACCAUAAACUAUG
rnacentral:rRNA from 1 species